rnacentral:rRNA from 1 species
GACGAACGCUGGCGGCGUGCUUAACACAUGCAAGUCGAACGGAAAGGCCCUGCUUUUGUGGGGUGCUCGAGUGGCGAACGGGUGAGUAACACGUGAGUAACCUGCCCCUGACUUUGGGAUAACUUCAGGAAACUGGGGCGAAUACCGGAUAGGAGCUCCUGCUGCAUGGUGGGGGUUGGAAAGAUUCGGCGGUUGGGGAUGGACUCGCGGCUUAUCAGCUUGUUGGUGGGGUAGUGGCUUACCAAGGCUUUGAAGGGUAGCCGGCCUGAGAGGGUGACCGGCCACAUUGGGCCUGAGGUACGGCCCAGACUCCUACGUGAGGCAGCAGUGGGGAAUAUUGCACAAUGGGCGGACGCCUGAUGCAGCAACGCCGCGUGCGGGAUGACGGCCUUCGGGUUGUAAACCGCUUUCGCCUGUGACGAAGCGUGAGUGACGGUAAUGGGUAAAGAAGCACCGGCUAACUACGUG